UGCAGAGGUCCCGAGCGUUGUUCGGAUUUAUUGGGCGUAAAGGGUGCGUAGGCGGCGGAGUAAGUUGGGUGUGAAAUCCCGGGGCUUAACCUCGGAAUUGCAUUCAAUACUGCUUCGCUUGAGUACUGGAGAGGAGGCUGGAAUUUACGGUGUAGCAGUGAAAUGCGUAGAUAUCGUAAGGAAGGCCGGUGGCGAAAGCGAGCCUCUGGACAGUUACUGACGCUGAUGCACGAAGGCCAGGGGAGCAAACGGG
rnacentral:rRNA from 1 species